CCGAGGAAAAGAAAUCAACCGAGAUUCCCCCAGUAGCGGCGAGCGAACGGGGAGCAGCCCAGAGCCUGAAUCAGUGUGUGUGUUAGUGGAAGCGUCUGGAAAGGCGCGCGAUACAGGGUGACAGCCCCGUACACAAAAAUGCACAUGCUGUGAGCUCGAUGAGUAGGGCGGGACACGUGGUAUCCUGUCUGAAUAUGGGGGGACCAUCCUCCAAGGCUAAAUACUCCUGACUGACCGAUAGUGAACCAGUACCGUGAGGGAAAGGCGAAAAGAACCCCGGCGAGGGGAGUGAAAAAGAACCUGAAACCGUGUACGUACAAGCAGUGGGAGCACGCUUAGGCGUGUGACUGCGUACCUUUUGUAUAAUGGGUCAGCGACUUAUAUUCUGUAGCAAGGUUAACCGAAUAGGGGAGCCGAAGGGAAACCGAGUCUUAACUGGGCGUUAAGUUGCAGGGUAUAGA
rnacentral:rRNA from 1 species